AUUGGACGCUGGCGGCAGGCCUAACACAUGCAAGUCGAGCGGAUGAAGGGAGCUUGCUCCUGGAUUCAGCGGCGGACGGGUGAGUAAUGCCUAGGAAUCUGCCUGGUAGUGGGGGAUAACGUCCGGAAACGGGCGCUAAUACCGCAUACGUCCUGAGGGAGAAAGUGGGGGAUCUUCGGACCUCACGCUAUCAGAUGAGCCUAGGUCGGAUUAGCUAGUUGGUGGGGUAAGGGCCUACCAAGGCGACGAUCCGUAACUGGUCUGAGAGGAUGAUCUGUCACACUGGAACUGAGACACGGUCCAGACUCCUACGGGAGGCAGCAGUAGGGAAUAUUGGACAAUGGGCGAAAGCCUGAUCCAGCCAUGCCGCGUGUGUGAAGAAGGUCUUCGGAUUGUAAAGCACUUUAAGUUGGGAGGAAGGGCAGUAAGUUAAUACCUUGCUGUUUUGACGUUACCAACAGAAUAAGCACCGGCUAACUUCGUG
rnacentral:rRNA from 1 species